GCAGUCGAGCGGACCGAUGGGAGCUUGCUCCUUUAGGUUAGCGGCGGACGGGUGAGUAACACGUGGGCAACCUGCCCUGCAGACUGGGAUAACUUCGGGAAACCGGAGCUGAUACCGGAUAACACCGAAAACCGCAUGGUUUUCGGUUGAAAGGCGGCUUUUAGCUGUCACUGCAGGAUGGGCCCGCGGCGCAUUAGCUAGUUGGUGAGGUAACGGCUCACCAAGGCGACGAUGCGUAGCCGACCUGAGAGGGUGACCGGCCACACUGGGACUGAGACACGGCCCAGACUCCUACGGGAGGCAGCAGUAGGGAAUCUUCCGCAAUGGACGAAAGUCUGACGGAGCAACGCCGCGUGAGCGAAGAAGGUCUUCGGAUCGUAAAGCUCUGUUGUCAGGGAAGAACAAGUGCCGUUCGAACAGGGCGGUACCUUGACGGUACCUGACGAGGAAGCCACGGCUAACUACGUGCCAGCAGCCGCGGUAAU
rnacentral:rRNA from 1 species